rnacentral:lncRNA from 1 species
AGGAAGUGUGCAGAUGGGAUUAACGUCCACAUGGAGAUAUGGAAGAGGACCGGGGAUUGGUACCGUAACCAUGGUCAGCUGGGGUCGUUUCAUCUGCCUGGUCGUGGUCACCAUGGCAACCUUGUCCCUGGCCCGGCCCUCCUUCAGUUUAGUUGAGGAUACCACAUUAGAGCCAGAAGAUGCCAUCUCAUCCGGAGAUGAUGAGGAUGACACCGAUGGUGCGGAAGAUUUUGUCAGUGAGAACAGUAACAACAAGAGUAAGUAACUGCCCGGCUCCGAUGGUCCCCGAGAGAGGAGCAUGGAGGGAAGUUCUGCCUGUCACCUGUCUUCUUGUCGACUCUUCUGCGCCAUGCUGUGUCCCGCGGCCCUUGCCUUUCCCCGCUGUGUCUACUUUCCUGACUUUCAAACCUGAGAAUAAACCAGUGUUGCUGCACA